rnacentral:rRNA from 1 species
UACAGAGGGUGCGAGCGUUGUCCGGAAUCACUGGGCGUAAAGGGCGCGUAGGUGGUGGCUUAAGCGUGCGGUGAAAGCUCGGAGCUCAACUCCGAGUCGGCCGUGCGAACUGGGCUCACUGGAGCAUAGUAGAGGCAGGUGGGAUUCCGGGUGUAGCGGUGGAAUGCGUAGAGAUCCGGAAGAACACCGGUGGCGAAGGCGGCCUGCUGGGCUAUGGCUGACACUGAGGCGCGACAGCGUGGGGAGCAAACAGG